AACGCGAAGAACCUUACCAAGGCUUGACAUGAACCGGUAACGCCUGGAAACAGGUGCCCCGCUUGCGGUCGGUUUACAGGUGGUGCAUGGUUGUCGUCAGCUCGUGUCGUGAGAUGUUGGGUUAAGUCCCGCAACGAGCGCAACCCUCGUUCUAUGUUGCCAGCGGUUCGGCCGGGGACUCAUAGGAGACUGCCGGGGUCAACUCGGAGGAAGGUGGGGACGACGUCAAAUCAUCAUGCCCCUUAUGUCUUGGGCUUCACGCAUGCUACAAUGGCCGGUACAAAGGGUUGCGAUACUGUGAGGUGGAGCUAAUCCCAAAAAGCCGGUCUCAGUUCGGAUUGGGGUCUGCAACUCGACCCCAUGAAGUCGGAGUCGCUAGUAAUCGCAGAUCAGCAACGCUGCGGUGAAUACGUUCCCGGGCCUUGUACACACCGACGCGUA
rnacentral:rRNA from 1 species